rnacentral:rRNA from 1 species
AGUGAACGCUGGCGGUAGGCCUAACACAUGCAAGUCGAACGGCAGCACAGUAAGAGCUUGCUCUUACGGGUGGCGAGUGGCGGACGGGUGAGGAAUACAUCGGAAUCUACUUUUUCGUGGGGGAUAACGUAGGGAAACUUACGCUAAUACCGCAUACGACCUACGGGUGAAAGCAGGGGAUCUUCGGACCUUGCGCGAUUGAAUGAGCCGAUGUCGGAUUAGCUAGUUGGCGGGGUAAAGGCCCACCAAGGCGACGAUCCGUAGCUGGUCUGAGAGGAUGAUCAGCCACACUGGAACUGAGACACGGUCCAGACCCCUACGGGAGGCAGCAGUGGGGAAUAUUGGACAAUGGGCGCAAGCCUGAUCCAGCCAUACCGCGUGGGUGAAGAAGGCCUUCGGGUUGUAAAGCCCUUUUGUUGGGAAAGAAAAGCAGCAGGUUAAUACCCCGCUGUUCUGACGGUACCCAAAGAAUACGCACCGGCUAACUUCGUG